rnacentral:rRNA from 1 species
UGGGGAAUAUUGCACAAUGGGCGCAAGCCUGAUGCAGCCAUGCCGCGUGUAUGAAGAAUGCCUUCGGGUUGUAAAGUACUUUCAGCGGGGAGGAAGGGAGUAAAGUUAAUACCUUUGCUCAUUGACGUUACCCGCAGAAGAAGCACCGGCUAACUCCGUGCCAGCAGCCGCGGUAAUACGGAGGGUGCAAGCGUUAAUCGGAAUUACUGGGCGUAAAGCGCACGCAGGCGGUUUGUUAAGUCAGAUGUGAAAUCCUCGGGCUCAACCUGGGAACUGCAUCUGAUACUGGCAAGCUUGAGUCUCGUAGAGGGGGGUAGAAUUCCAGGUGUAGCGGUGAAAUGCGUAGAGAUCUGGAGGAAUACCGGUGGCGAAGGCGGCCCCCUGGACGAAGACUGACGCUCAGGUGCGAAAGCGUGGGGAGCAAACAGG